UGACGUCUCAGUAUUCCUUCCGUGGAUUGGUCAGAGAAGGGACUAACUGCUCAACGGUAAUGACUUAGCAAUAUCACAAGAUGUCGUAAUUUACAAGUGUAAGAGUCAAAGCUCGGCACUGUAUGUUGAGGCAUGGAGAAAUGUCCUGUAUUGAGUCUGCUGCAACAAAGACCCUCAUUUUGCUUGACACCGGAGACAUUGUCCUAGCUAGAGCAAGGCCUGUGUCCUGGGACGUAGCGAUGCCAGCCAGCAAGAGAUGAUCUAUCCACGUCCUGGCAUAACCUAGGUAAGCUAGGGAUGGAGGGGUAAUGAGGGUGUGAGGUGUAUGUAUAUGUGUGUGUGAUGGGGUAUUUGGGGAGAAGGUUCCUAUCCCUUUGCCUUCCCUUGAGAGCUGCAUUAGUGAAGGGUGCUGACAGAUUUGAGUCUACCCCUGGGGAGACCAGAGAGACUGUAGUCGCAGCCCUGAGUCUGUUCUCAUGACUUCACUGUUGGGACAAACCCAGUUUUGCUGACUCCUUUUGUUCUUCUCAGUUACUGUGUGAUUUGCUGAAGUUAAUGGCUUUAGGUUAUCCAAAUACAAUGGAACUCACUGGCAUUUAAUUUAUGGUAUUCAAAGACCCCCCAAAUCAUCUUACAGAAAAUACUUGGAUCUAGGACUUGUUUUUACAGACGGAAGACCUUGUAUGAAUAUUAUUAUUUUUGAGAUGUUUAUCAGUUUAUCAAAUGUAACUUCAUAGGUGGUUUGUGCACCAUAAAAUACCUCUGAGAUCAUUUGUACUGGGCUCAACAACAGCUGUUAUCCUCAAACCUCAGGAAAUAACACAAACAAAACUAUGUGUAUUAUGUACUAUUUAUCAGAUCAAUUAAGGGAAAGUGGUAGCUAACUCAUUUACCAUCCAUCUGUAUGCAGGGUGCAAAAUCAACACCAGCCACCAGCCAAAUGCUGGUAAAAGAUACAAAUGGCUGGUAGAUUUACUUCUCUCACCAGCCAAAAAACAAUGGUAAUCUAUUGCAGUGGUUCUCAAAGUGGGGUCUGUGGACCCCCAGGGAUCCUUGAGGUGGUUCCAGGAGGUCCCCAGCAAAAAUGGGAAUACUUUAUUUUCGUUUGUAAUUCUAUCCAUAAGUAGCACAGUGACAGAAUGUCUGGCUAUUCUGGUCAUGGGUUUCGUACACUUUCUGUAAUAAAACAUCUAAAAGCAAAGAUUCUAUCAGAUGGGGGACCCUGGGACAAAAUCUUAUCAAAUGGGGGUCCGUGGUCUAAUUUGUGUUAGUUUAGGGGUCCCUGAUGUGAAAAAGUGUGAGAACCACUGAUCUAUUGAGUGUCUGGUACACACUGAGCGUUCACUAGCCAUUGGCUGGCGGACAAAAUGUUAUUUUACCCUGUAUGGUUUCCACAGACAGCCUGAAGAGGAUACUCUUAGUAUCCUAGUUGGAGUCAAUAGAACUAAUAUUUCAUGGCUUGUGCCUCUGAGCUGUUGUAGAACUGCGUAUAUGUUACAGUAGGCCCAUUCUACUCUUUGUACAGUACAUAACUUCACUGUCUUUCUCUUUUUUUCUCUCUUCCUCUAAAACACACUAAGGGCCUUUGGGCACACACAGGUAAUUACCAAGGGUUGAGAACCAGGAAAUGAGAGUGGCCCCCUCAUGUCCCCUCAGGUUAUCCAUUUAUGUUGCUUCAUGAAUCAGGAUACACCAAAGGCACCUACUGUAACUGAAAGAAGAUAAGGCACAUAAUGUGUUUAAUGCUGCACACAGACCCUUUCUCAGGUUAACACUCCCAAUGGCAAUGGUCUUGUCAAGGGAGGACGCAGUCACUAGUGGAGGAGCUGAUGAUUAAAAUAAUAUAGAAUAUAGGGAAAUCUAAUAUUAAAGCUGCAGUGAGCAACUUCGGCUGCAAAUGGCACCAAAUAAUAACUGUAGGACUUUUCUGGCUUUGGUGACCUCCAGUGGUUGUAUCAAAAAAAGAAACCAGCAACUGUGAUAUCUAGUUUCAUCCAUCUUAUUAGUUGUGUUUGGAUAAACAUAAUCUGUCAAAAUAUGAAACCAGUUCUUUUUAAAAAACGAUAUAACACACAGAGGUGUUUUUAAUUUUGUUUAAUACAACCUCUUAUCAGGCCUGUGUGGGUGUAAACUGUAGUGCCUGGUUGACAUCCUCUGACAUGAUCAUAUAUAUUUAGUGUGCAGAGGUCUAAUUAGCCAAGUGACAACACCUGUGCGGGGCCUCUAGUGUUUUUCUGAGAUAGCCUAGCUUGGUACUUAGCUAGGACUUAAGCAAACUUCUGAUGUGUUUUAGGACUGUCAUUUGUAAUUCAUUGAUUCUCAUCAGCAGGCUGAGACAAAGACAGCUGGUAACAAUUUUGGAUAGACAAGUGCAAUAGGCCUUUUUUUGGCUUGUCAUAGUUGGAAAGCACAGGUGUUACUAAUAACAUUAAAGGUGGCUCUGUUCUGUUCAAGUGCUCCAGUAAGCCAUGGCAAGUGGGUACAGUGAAUGUACAAUACCAGAGCCCUGAAUAAAAGCAGCUAAAUGGAA